CACGUAGUUAGCCGGUGCUUCUUCUCCAGGUACCGUCAGUAUCACCCUUCGUCCCUGGCGAAAGAGGUUUACAACCCGAAGGCCGUCAUCCCUCACGCGGCGUCGCUGCAUCAGGCUUGCGCCCAUUGUGCAAUAUUCCCCACUGCUGCCUCCCGUAGGAGUCUGGGCCGUGUCUCAGUCCCAGUGUGGCCGGUCGCCCUCUCAGGCCGGCUACCCGUCACCGCCUUGGUAGGCCAUCACCCCACCAACAAGCUGAUAGGCCGCGGGCUCAACUCAUACCGCCGGAGCUUUCCACCACCCCCCAUGCGAGGAAUGGUCCUAUCCGGUAUUAGACCCAGUUUCCCAGGCUUAUCCCAGAGUACAAGGCAGAUUACCCACGUGUUACUCACCCGUUCGCCACUCAUCCACCCACGCAAGCGCGGGCUUCAGCGUACGACUUGCAUGUGUUAAGCACGCCGCCAGCGUUCGUCCUGAGCCAGGAUCAAACUC
rnacentral:rRNA from 1 species